rnacentral:rRNA from 1 species
UACGUAGGGUGCAAGCGUUGUCCGGAAUUAUUGGGCGUAAAGAGCUCGUAGGCGGUCUGUCACGUCGGCUGUGAAAACCUGGGGCUCAACUCCGGGCCUGCAGCCGAUACGGGCAGACUAGAGUUCGGCAGGGGAGACUGGAAUUCCUGGUGUAGCGGUGAAAUGCGCAGAUAUCAGGAGGAACGCCGGUGGCGAAGGCGGGUCUCUGGGCCGAAACUGACGCUGAGGAGCGAAAGCGUGGGGAGCAAACAGG